GGCGACAUUAAUGAAAUGCAGUUCUUGCACGAGAAAAAAGGAGGCAAUCCACAUCCAUCUCAGUAUAUGCAAGCCUUGCUGAGCACUAUCGAUGAUUGUGAGUUGCUCGGCUUAGGGUUCAUUGGGGACCCCUUCACAUGGCAUAAAGGGUGGAUCAGAGAGAGAUUGGAAAGGGGACUUGUUAAUGAUGCAUGGGCGACACUCUUUCCUAAUGUGGCGUUGGAGAAUAUGGAAUAUAACCAUUCUGAUAAUUGGCCCUUGUGUAUAAAUAUCGAAUAUUAUAACCAACCCGUAGCUCCAAAAAUGGACAACAAAACAUGUUCAAGGCACGGUGGUUAA
rnacentral:rRNA from 1 species